ACGAACGCUGGCGGCGUGCUUAACACAUGCAAGUCGAACGGAAAGGCCCUGCUUUUGUGGGGUGCUCGAGUGGCGAACGGGUGAGUAACACGUGAGUAACCUGCCCUUGACUUUGGGAUAACUUCAGGAAACUGGGGCUAAUACCGGAUAGGAGCUCCUGCUGCAUGGUGGGGGUUGGAAAGUUUCGGCGGUUGGGGAUGGACUCGCGGCUUAUCAGCUUGUUGGUGGGGUAGUGGCUUACCAAGGCUUUGACGGGUAGACGGCCUGAGAGGGUGACCGGCCACAUUGGGACUGAGAUACGGCCCAGACUCCUACGGGAGGCAGCAGUGGGGAAUAUUGCACAAUGGGCGGAAGCCUGAUGCAGCAACGCCGCGUGCGGGAUGACGGCCUUCGGGUUGUAAACCGCUUUCGCCUGUGACGAAGCGUGAGUGACGGUAAUGGGUAAAGAAGCACCGGCUAACUACGUG
rnacentral:rRNA from 1 species